rnacentral:rRNA from 1 species
CCUACGGGUGGCUGCAGUGGGGAAUAUUGCACAAUGGGCGCAAGCCUGAUGCAGCCAUGCCGCGUGUGUGAAGAAGGCCUUCGGGUUGUAAAGCACUUUCAGCGGGGAGGAAGGCGUUAAGGUUAAUAACCUUGGCGAUUGACGUUACCCGCAGAAGAAGCACCGGCUAACUCCGUGCCAGCAGCCGCGGUAAUACGGAGGGUGCAAGCGUUAAUCGGAAUUACUGGGCGUAAAGCGCACGCAGGCGGUCUGUCAAGUCGGAUGUGAAAUCCCCGGGCUCAACCUGGGAACUGCAUUCGAAACUGGCAGGCUAGAGUCUUGUAGAGAGGGGUAGAAUUCCAGGUGUAGCGGUGAAAUGCGUAGAGAUCUGGAGGAAUACCGGUGGCGAAGGCGGCCCCCUGGACAAAGACUGACGCUCAGGUGCGAAAGCGUGGGGAGCAAACAGGAUUAGAUACCCUAGUAGUC